GCCCGGGUGGUGGAAUUGGCAUUCACGGCAGCCUUAAAAGCUGCUGCCCGAAAGGGCAUGUGGGUUCGAGUCCCACCCCGGGCA
rnacentral:tRNA from 1 species